rnacentral:rRNA from 1 species
GAUGAACGCUGACAGAAUGCUUAACACAUGCAAGUCGAAGGGGGAGUUGUGCUUCCACCAUGGUAACCAUGGCGGACGGGCGAGUAACGCGUACGGAACUUACCUGCGCGACCGGGAUAACAGCCAGACACUGCUGACUACACCUGCCAAGGACAUCAUGCUGCCUCGCUGAGCGAUGAAAGGAGACGACUGCGGAGAGCCUUGCGUCCUAUUAGCUAGCUGUAGGGGUAACGGCCCAACAAGACGAAGAUAGGUAGCCGGCCUAGGAGGGCGGACGGCCACAAGGGGUACGAGAGGCGGCAGUUACGCCUACGGGAGGAAGCAGUGGAGAAUAUUGGACAAAGGGGGCAACAAUGAUGCAGCAAUUCGGUGUGCACGAAGACGGUUUUCGGAUUGUAAAGUGCUAUCAGCAGGGAAGAAGGAAUUGACGGUACCUGCAGAAGAAGCGACGGCUAAAUACGUG